rnacentral:tRNA from 1 species
GGUCCCGUAACUCAGUGGUAGAGUGUCACCUUGACAUGGUGGAAGUCGAUGGUUCAAGUCCAUUCGGGGCCA